rnacentral:rRNA from 1 species
UACGUAGGUGGCAAGCGUUGUUCGGAAUUAUUGGGCGUAAAGGGCGCGUAGGCGGCCUGGCAAGUGGAAGGUGAAAUCCCUCGGCUUAACCGAGGAACUGCCCUCCAAACUGCUUGGCUUGAGUCCGGGAGAGGUGAGUGGAAUUCCCAGUGUAGCGGUGAAAUGCGUAGAGAUGUGGAGGAACACCGAUGGCGAAGGCAGCCCCCUGGGCUAACACUGACGCUCAUGCACGAAAGCGUGGGGAGCAAACAGG